AUUGAUUCUCUCGUUCCAAAAAAACUUGGCCCAUGGCUCUGUUCAUCCUGUAGCAAGGCAGCGAGCGCUCCACAUCGCUUCCCCAUCACCCUGACUCCCGCAGGCCGCCGCCAGGCCGCAUCCUGCUGUCCCGCAGUCAUGCUCACGCACAGCCGCACGCCCGCACAGGUCGCGACUCGGACUCGCGACUCGCGAGCGGCCGAGCGCCGCCGCGGUUUGCCAGGCGCCAGCGCUCCCGUGACUCCGUAUGCUCCCGGCUCCCGCACAAGCGCUCCCGUCAUCUGCUCCCGUCCGGCUCCGGUCCGGCUGUCCCCUCUGCUCGACCCCCAAGCCGAGGCCCCGAGCACCCGACGGCGGACGGCUCAUGGCCGGGCGGCCGACACUCAAGCAAUGUCGCAGCGGGCAGCGGCAGCGGCCAGGCCACGGCACACGACCAGCACAGGGGAAUUGAACUACCUUGGUUUUAAUUCCUGGGUCCGCCGGCGUGCUCACCGACACUGAAGGAUGAAGGGGACUGGUUGAAUCGACGGCGGAUUUCAGUUUUCUUCUAUAUAGCUAGUUAUAUAGUAGUGUUAGGUUUACGGUUGCACCUUAGAUGGCCACUGGUGCUUGUGCUGCUCGUGAGCGUCGCUGGAGGAUGCAGGAGUGGUAAUUCUGUUGAUGUUGUUGGUGAAUCUGGAGCUCCUUUUUUCGGUGAAGUUAACUCGGAGAAUAAAGUAGCUUGGGAGAUCGGGUUGGUUGUUAGAUCCCACCUACUCCGGUGGUUUGCAUCUUCUUCUGGGUGUCCUCUACACUGGCGUGCUGUGGCUGAUACUGUUCAUAGUGUCAGGCCUUUUCUACACCGGCGAAGAGAUGGUCGUUGACCAUCUUGCUCGGCCUAUUCGUUCAACGACUACACGGCAUGUUGGUUUUCCCGAUGUGCUAUCCUUGAUGCCAUUACAAAACUUUGAAGCUGCUUCGUCGGGAAGGUGGUCGGCUUCUGAGCGUCUCCUCCGACCGCUGGCGACGAGAGCAACGGGGAGUUCCUAACAAGGACUUGUUUGUAAUUCUCUUUUCUCUUAAGGGUGUCUUUGUAAGUUGUGUGAUGUAAACUAUGAGAAAUCUACGUGAAAUGUAACCCGGUUUCUCACACACA